rnacentral:rRNA from 1 species
GUGUCAGCAGCCGCGGUAAUACGUAGGGACCGAGCGUUGUCCGGAUUCAUUGGGCGUAAAGAGCUCGUAGGCGGCCACUCAAGUCGAAUGUGAAACCUCGAGGCUUAACCUCGAGCCUGCAUUCGAUACUGGGCGGCUAGAGUCUGGUAGGGGGAUCUGGAAUUCCUGGUGUAGCGGUGGAAUGCGCAGAUAUCAGGAGGAACACCGGUGGCGAAGGCGGGAUCCUGGGCCAGUACUGACGCUGAGGAGCGAAAGCGUGGGGAGCAAACAGGAUUAGAUACCCUGGUAGUCC